AGUGAACUAGCUAACUGAAAUCUUAAGCCGAGCUAAGCUCGUAUUGGGAUGUCGUAAGGGAAAAUAAUGAUACUACCUUACUAUAAGUGUCGCCAAAACUGGUGCCAGAAGACUCGGUAAGGCCAGAGACGCAAACGUUAAUCUACAUCAACAGGCGUAAAGGGUAAGUAGGCUGCUUAAAAAGUAUUUUCUAUUUAAAUGCCAAAUAUUUUAAUUUAAUUUUAUUUCUCUGCCCCUUUAGCGGCCCCCUGGCCUUAAAAACGCUCAGCUGGCGCAGCGCUACUUAAGGUCGCUACGUUUUUAAGGCGCAGCGGGGGCUAGGGCUAAAUAUAUCUGCUACUGUUUAGCAAUUUAGCUAACGCACGAUAAAUAUCUAGUCCACUUUUUUAAGGGGCAUCAAGAGAAAAUUAUCAUUUUAUUCUGAAAUAUUGUAAAUAAAAUAUGAAUUUAAGCUAGAAUCAAGAAGGGGUUGACCCAAAUAAUAUUUAGAGGAGGUUUAAUAUCUUUAGAUCCUAAAUGGAAUACUCAAGGCGAAAGCUUUUCAACCAAGUAAUGAUUGACGCUAAGGAACGAAGGGGAGGGCAAGAAACAGGAUCAGAUACCCUAUUACUCCUCUCAGUCAACGAUGAAUGGUAUACAUUAGUUUAUAUAAACUAUAUGAUAAAAGCUAACGCGAGUAACCAUUCCGCCUUGUAACUACGACUCAAUGUUAAAAACAAAAAAUUAGUCGGUCUCGAAGCAAACGAA
rnacentral:rRNA from 1 species